rnacentral:rRNA from 1 species
UACGGAGGGUGCAAACGUUGCUCGGAAUCAUUGGGCGUAAAGCGCACGUAGGCGGUUCGGUAAGUCGGAUGUGAAAUCCCUCGGCUCAACCGAGGAAGGGCAUCCGAAACUGCCGAGCUUGAGUACGGAAGAGGGUCUCGGAAUUCCCGGUGUAGAGGUGAAAUUCGUAGAUAUCGGGAGGAACACCAGUGGCGAAGGCGGAGACCUGGGCCGAUACUGACGCUGAGGUGCGAAAGCGUGGGGAGCAAACAGG